ensembl:snoRNA LOC120101241 small nucleolar RNA SNORA24
CUCUGUGUAUCCUUGGACCUAUCUGCCGUGGCAGCCUCACUUCCUGGCCACGGGGGAGCAGAUCCUUGCUACUGGUAAAGCAGUCGUCCUUGGGCUGGUAUUAGAGUCUGGUGUGCACAAAUAACCGUC